CACGGCGGAUAUCAUGCUGCCAAAUUUUGUGGUUUAGUUUUUCGUAAAAGUUCGUUUCUUAUUUAAAGAAACCCAAAAUAGAAUUUAAUUAGCAAGAAAAUAAAAAUAGGCAGAUUUUCAAAAAUGUCUGCCGGCUGUUCACAUUCGCGUCAGCGCCAGUUCCUGCGUUAUGGGGGUAGCCUGCAGGAGUUGCGUGAGCAGUUGCAUCAAGAAAUCGAAAACAAAGCGAAAAGUUGUUCAAAUCCCACUUACGAAUGCUCGGUGCCGCGUGUUGAUGGCUAUGAAUUUUGCAUGCGCCACAUUUUACGCGACCCGUGUGGCAAUUUCCGCCAAUGCACCCAUAUCUAUCCGAAUGGGCGAAAGUGCACCAAUGCACUACAGAAGCAUGAUAUCAAAAAGGAUCCUGCUUUGACCACACUUUGCUUCGAACAUAAUCGCAAAGCGCAACUACAGAAAACUCAUGCAACUGUGGGCAAAUUGAAGCGCACAGAUACCAAUGAGGUGCUCUUGAAUAGCUUAGCUCACCAUAUUAAUGUGGAAGAUGUCCAACCAGAACAAAAUGUGGGUGAACAAGAUGAGGAAAUUGACGUAGUAUCACCUCAUGUGACACCAUUUGUUGCCCACGAUCAGGUGAAUAGCCUUAGUGCAGUUGUAUCGAGUCUGCAAAAGAGGCGUCGCAUCUUGGAUUACGCUUCAGAUAGCUCAAGUAAUGAUGACGAACCACCCAGCAUCAAUAACAUGGCACGAGGUUUUGAUUUCAUUGAAUCAGACGAUGAGAGCGUAGAUUCGCAAACCGAGGAUUUGCUAAAGCACGCUGGAAUUUAUACGCGUGAAGAGGCUUUACGUAUCUCCGAGGCAAAGCUGACAAAACUGCAGGGCUUGUACAUUGACCAAAUUAAUCGCUUACAUCACACACUUAAAGAACGACGACGUCGCUAUUUACUUGCCUUGCGCAAGGAGCGCGAAAUGCUUUGCAGCAUUCAUGAUCAGCCAAAGGAUACGCCGCGCGAACGUAAGCUCUAUGACCAGCUUAAAGCACUGAACACAUACCAUCGCCGUUAUGGCGUUGAGGCUGUGCUCUAUAAGAAAUUCAAAGAAAAGCGUUCGCGUGCAACAGAGGGCUAUGGACACAAGGGUCCAGGUUAUACCAAAUGCGUCUUCACCGAGGGCGGUGUUAAGUGCGGUGAACGAGCUAUGCCUUGCUGCAAAUUCUGUCGCAAACAUAUUUUGGAAGAUAAAAAACAGAUACUUUUCCGUGCCUGUGAGGUGGAGAAGAGCGGCGUUGUGUGCCAGGAACCCAUACCGUGCAUCUUUGACGAUGCAUCGACUUGUGUCUUGCAUAUGUCCAUACCGCCCCGUCGCCAAUAUAUACAAAAGGAUUACCCUAAAUAUGCUCCAAUCUCAGACGGAGCGCAAUACAGGGAGAGGGUAAUUUAAGACUGUGACAUUGUGAAAGCAAAACAAACAAAUGCACUAUUAUUGUAUAAUUAAAUGAAAUUACUAUUGAAAUAACUGUGAUUAUUGCUUAUACUAUGUCAAAUGUACUGUAAUAUUCCUGUAUGUGUGUAAUGUGCGAAAAUCAAGUCAAAUUUAGGUACUAAUGUAAACCAAAAAAGAAAAGAUUUCACAACCACUUAAUGGAACUUAAUCGCUAAAAGUUCGAAUCUGAAACCGAGGAAGAUGAAGCGAAAGAAAGUCUGGACGAUAAAACGGCGGCGGAAGAGAGCUCAAAAUCAAUCAAACAGAG